CGGUGGAGCAUGUGGUUUAAUUUCGAUGCAACGCGAAGAACCUUACCUACUCUUGACAUCCAGAGAACUUUCCAGAGAUGGAUUGGUGCCUUCGGGAACUCCGAGACAGGUGCUGCAUGGCUGUCGUCAGCUCGUGUUGUGAAAUGUGGGUUAAGUCCCGCAACGAGCGCAACCCUUAUCCUUUGUUGCCAGCGGUUCGGCCGGGAACUCAAAGGAGACUGCCAGUGAUAAACUGGAGGAAGGUGGGGAUGACGUCAAGUCAUCAUGGCCCUUACGAGUAGGGCUACACACGUGCUACAAUGGCAUAUACAAAGAGAAGCGACCUCGCGAGAGCAAGCGGACCUCAUAAAGUAUGUCGUAGUCCGGAUUGGAGUCUGCAACUCGACUCCAUGAAGUCGGAAUCGCUAGUAAUCGUAGAUCAGAAUGCUACGGUGAAUACGUUCCCGGGCCUU
rnacentral:rRNA from 1 species